rnacentral:lncRNA from 1 species
CUAUGAAAAGCGUGAUGUAUAGAAACCCCGAUGUUGACCGAACAGUAUCAUUUUAUGAUUUUGUUGGGUGUUUUUUUUUGCGUCUAGGUGGAGUGUAAAUUUGAGAGAGAUUUCGUUGGUGUUUUCUAGCAGACUGAACGACCACGUAGAGGUUCCUCGUUGACAUGUGACGUGUCAGAUUAGAUUUUUUUUUUUUUGUGAACGUUGCAUAACUCGAUUUACAAUGUCGACACUGUCAAACCGUUAUCGUUUCGUACACAAAUUUUUAAGAGUAAACAUUAACAAGACAACCCUAAAUUUCUCAACGAUACUUCUAAAUGGAAUUGUCAUAUUUUAUAGAACAUUACUAAGCAAAAUAAAGAUUGAUAUAUGCAAGAUUCUAAAGUGUUUUGCUCUUUGCUUUUGCAUGAUUCUAUUCAAAAUAUAUUACUCAGUAAACACUGUCUGUGAAUGUUAGUGGUAUAUCUCGGUUAUAAUGUAGAGUAUUUUGUGACCUUAUUCAAUAUUCAAUAUUGCCCAUGUAUUAACAUUCUUUGCAUUUAUUAUUUAUUACAUUUAUCUUCUUAUAUAAAACAGCUCAACUGAAGAAUAUCUGUAUCAUCUUCGCAAAGAUUUCUAGUUCUUUAGAAGGUUAUUAUUCUGACCAUACUACUGAAUAUUUCAAAGUCUUAGCUAUAAAGCUGUGUAUUGCUGGCUUUACGGUGUGGUUCAUAAAAAUACCGAACUGUCUUCAGUUGUAUUGUGUAAGAAGAAGAAAAAAAAA